rnacentral:lncRNA from 1 species
CUUUUCUAGGGCUGCUCUUGCAGCAUGUGGAGAUUCCCAGGCUUGGGAUCUAAUUGGAGCGGUAUCCACCGGCCUAUGCCAGAGCCACAGCAACGCGGGAUCCGAGCCACAUCUGCAACCUACUCCACAGCUCACGGCAAUGCCGAAUCCUUAACCCACUGAGCAAGGCCAGGGAUCGAACCCGAAACCUCAUGGUUCCUAGUUGGAUUUGCUACACUGCGCCACGCAGCAAGGGGCUCCCCCUCUGGAGUCCUGUACCUUCUCAGCUCAGGAGGUUCUUAGGCAGCCCUCUGUGGACCCCUGUCCCUGAUACUGGCUGCAGAGGCUCCUGUAGGGCCACAGGUGCCCAGGCCAGCUCCCUGAAGCAGGUGACGUGCAUGGAGUCACACAGGCCCAGGUUCAAGUCCAGAUUCUGCCAUUUAAAGGAUCUAUGAUCUUUUAACCACCUUCAGCUUCAGAUUCCUCACUUGUAAAAUGAGAUCUCCAUUUCCUGGGACUGCUGUGAGGCCCUCCUUUAGCCCCUGCCUCCCAGGCCCACUGGAUCUCCCCAAGCUCUUCCGUCUGCCCAGAGGGCUCUUCCCUGCCAGCUCAGCCCACCCCACCACCCGGACAGAUCACACCCUCUAGUACACAUGCCGCCACUGCAAUUACACACUGACCUGUGGGACAAUUUCACUGCGGGAGGAGGGCCCGGGGCUGGUUUUCCUCCCCACUGCCUCCCCCAGCCCAGCACCAGGCCAGCGCUUGGCAGGCCCUAGCUGAACGGUACCCACUCUCCUUAUCACCAGGCCGUCAGCCUCCCUGUCUCAUCAGUGGCUCCAGACCUAGCAGCUCAGGGACUCCCGCCUUCAGCCCCUAUGGUACUCUCAUCAGUGCCUUGCCCUAAAGGGCCCUCUCAGACCACCCGGCACCUCUGGGGCCUCACAACACCAGGAGCUGCCUUCUGAGACCUGGCCUUGCAUGGCUCUCCAAACAUCUCGUGGUAACACCUUCUCAGAGUUUCAGAAGCAAACCAAGUCAUUUGCCAACUAUUUUCUCCCAUUAAUCUCACAAUGCAUUUGCUAUUUUCCCUCCAUAAUGACUCAUUUAGCAGCAACAGAGCAAUUAGGCAGACCGCAGAAUAUUGAUUUUCUAAGUGGGAGAAAUGUCCGCACGAACGUCUCGAUGCCUGUCUCAGGCUGUCUCCUGCCACAUGAUGGGGUAAACCUUAGGAGAGCCUGGCUGGAUCUGUUGGCAGGAUCCCGGGAUCUCCAUCAAAAGCUCAAAAGCAUGUGUGUGCAAACGUGGGCGAGUGUGUGUGCAUGACACACUUGAUCCCAUGGAGACCUCAGAACCCGAGGAGGUCGGCACCACUAGCACACCCAUUUUAAAGAGGAGGAAACAGAGGUUCAGAGAUUAGACAAUUUGUCCUAAAUCACACAGGAAGCUAGAGAGCUAGAUCCAGACCUAGGCCUGCGUGUGUCAGCAGAGCAGAAUUCUGUCCACUGAGGAGCCCUUGUGUGGCCUGCGCCCUGGGACAGCAAGGGGGAUGUGACACUGGAAGGCGACGCCAUGGUGUGACCCAAGGAGACGCCUGAGAUGGAAAACAGUUGGUCCAGGUUCUGAGGCUGUACACCCAAGCCUCCCUGCUGUGAACAAGUUCACCCCUGGCUGCCCCAGGCCAUCCACCAGGCCUGGGCAGUGGCCCUCAGAAAGGCCUGGAGAAAGAAUGGCAGGACCCACCGCCCUCCUCUUCCUCCACUUCCCGACCACCACCACCAGCCCCAGACAAGUGCCCACCCAACUCAUGGGGCACUUCAAACAUUCCCACCUAUAAACGGAGAGGCCAGAAGAAAAGGUGCGAGUCAGGAAUGGUUUGCUGAGCUGCUGCAUCUAUGAGGAGCCAUAUCUGUACAUUGGCUCCCAAGCCAGGCCCCAAAGCUGGGAUCCUAUCAAACAAGACUUUAGCUUUCCUCCUACCUCCCACUGCCAGAGACUCCCUCAACACAAGCUGGGAUGGGGGCUACAGGGGCCACAGGUCCCCAAGGUCCCAGGGCCCAAUGUCAGCCUACAUGCUGACACUUACCUGGGGAGCCAAUGGUUUCUUGGUGGCCAAGGGAAAGAGCUGAAGGUCCAGCUAGCAGCCAUGGGCUUAAAUGUCAAUGCUGCCACCAUUACUAGGGCUCUGGGUGGAAUAAUGUCCUUCUCUGAGACUCAGUUUCCUUACCUGCAAAAGGAAUAAUGCCUACCCUGCCACCUCCCUCGCUCUUAUGAGGGCUGAAUAAGUAAAUGACAAAGUGGCACAUACAUGUUGGCUAGCGAAGCUCAACAGAAGGGAAGGUUUCCAAGAGCUGGCACUGCCCAGCAAUGGCAGGGUGCCUCCCCACUAUAGGAGAUGCAUGAGCAGACCCUAGACAGUCCAUGAACAGGGGAGGCAGAGCAUCCUUCACGCCCUCUCAUACACCCAGAUGCACAUCAGCAUAUUAAAGGCACCCAGGGGUCCAGCACUGAAGAAACUGACUUGCUUUGGCUCAUUGGAUGCUUCCCUGACCUUCUGGACUAUGGAAACCCCUCAUCACAAAUGCCCAUUAACAGAUGCAAGGAUGUGGUGUUCCGUGGAACCCAGUUUGAGAAAUGAUCCUAUGGCCACUUUGGACAGUGACUAGAGGAGGUAGGGAAGAAAGCAAGGCCUUUUGAGCACAAGCCUGACUGGAGAGACUAUAGGACCUUCCGCAAUGUCAACGACGAGUCAGGAGCAGACCGAGCCCUCGACCUCCCUUUCUAGCAUCACAGGGAGACAAAUUCAAGUGCCCAGAGAAAAAAAUUCACUUCAAUGAAAUGACAUGGAAAGGGACUAAAAAACCUCAAAUAGGAGUCCCUCCCAGGCUGUCCCUGACCUUAACAAGCCCACAAACUCGGAGGGACUGAAGAAGAAAUCCCUCAAACAGAAAUCCUCCUCCUUCCCUGCUCCUGCUUGAAAAUUCACCACCACCGCCUUAGCCCUCGGGGUCAGCAGUGCCUCCUUCAGGGUUCCCGAAAGCGGGGCUGAGUCCCCAAAACAGCUGAUCACGUUUCAGAGAAGAAGAGCUUGCAGGACCACCGAAAGCAGGAGAUGAGGGAAUCCCACAUCAUUGCUAUGUCCACACCCAUCCGUGGAGCCUGGAAGAAGGCAGCCUGUGCGACCAGCCCUGCCCAUUAUGAUGCUCUGGGCGCUGCGUGGACACACCCCCUUCAACCCAGUGCCCUCUCCUCUCUCUGGAGGGGCUGCGUGCCAGGAAAGGCCGAGGAGUCCGGGAACCACUAGCUCCCUGGAAGAGCUCCGGCAAACCCAUCCAUGGCAAACCCAUCCAUAAUGGUGCAGACUUUGCUCCCAGCAAGGACAGAGCUUUAUUAAUUAUUCAGGGGACAGUGCAAUUAUGCAAAUCAGUGGGCAGCCUCUGCCCGACUGCUGCCUUCUGCAGGAGUCUGGGGGAGGGGGUGCCCAGAACCCAAGUGGCUGGGGACAAGAAGGGAGCCACUCAGCCCACAAAAGGGGAGUAGCACCCCCCCACACCCCAUGCUGGGCCCACAGAGGGCUCUGCUCAGAGCCAGGCCCCAUUCCACACACAGGAGAGCUAGUAGCUGCUUUGAAGAACAAUCCUAAGAGCUGGGGAUGCCUUUUGCCAAAAAAAUACCCCCAAAGCUGUUGCCGGGCCAGCAGUGCCAUCAUUCAAGGCUUGCUCCAGCAGGUCCUAAAGGCAAGGAGUACGUCCAAGGUUUCCUCUAAAAAGCACACUUCUAAGGAGAGGUGCCACCUCAAAUCAGUGUUUACCAAUGGCACAGAGCACCACCGCUGCUGGGUGGGGGGAGUGGGGGACAGGAAACCCUGGAUUAAACAGGUGAAACUGGAUCCUUUACUGCAGGAGCUUGCAGCGCCUAGAGAAAGGCUCCCACGAUGCCCAUGGAGGAAGACAUCCAGUUGCCACCUCCAGGAACCAGGAACCAAGUUUCUAAAUUCUGGACAGACCUGCUCACUGCAUCCCCUCAAAGGUCCGUCGUCAUCCAUUGACUCCAAAAUCCCUUGCAGCAGGUUUCUGCUGCUCGCAUCAACAACCACCAGCAAAAAUGUGACCUUCACGUGCACUGGGCGGCUAGACAAGACCACCUCAGGCAGGCUGGACCUAGCUCCUGGCAGAAGCCCUGCCCAUGGCUCCGCCACUGCCCCACACCCACCUCUGCCCCCUCCCCAAGGCCCAGCAGCUGUGCAGGUGCCCACACCACCUCAGCUCCACAGGGGUUGGGUCAGCUGAGAGCCUGGCUGCACAAUCAGCAACCCCCUCAGCCAGUCUGGCUGGAGGGCUCGGUGCCAGAUGCACCCAUCUUCCCACAGGUGUGGAACAAAGGCUGAUCUGGGGGUCUCUGCCCACCAUCAUCACUGUUUUCCCUUCAUCCUCCAGGGCAGUGAUGGAAGUGACCUCUGCAUACUGCCCUGGGGAGGAAGGGGAGGCGCCUAUGCAAGGACAGCAAGCUCACUCAUAACCUCUGCCACCCCACCCACAACUUUUGCCACCCACCCACGACCUCUGCCAACCCAUACCUCAGCCAAGAUCAUAAACCAACAUAUCCAAAUGCAGCCAUAGCUCAUUAACGCUACCAAGAGGAAACAAGAUGUAGAAGCCCAGACUCCUGGGGGAGCCCACAGGGAAAGACACAUACAACCACUGAGCAAGAGCAAGGGCAGAGGCAGCCCCCGAGCUGGCCCCAGGCUCGCGUCCUGGAGACUCCACCCACGGAGACCAGGGGGAAGCCCACCUCCACUGCCACCUGGUCACCUCAGGACUGCAGCUCCUCUAGUUGCCUCCUGUAGACCGGGGUGGCCCUGGGACUCUCCUUCAGUCCCCUCUGUUCUCUGUGUGGGAGACAGUACAACACUCUGGCAGCAUCUAGGUGCAAAUCCCACUUUUACCACCCACCCGCUGUCUGAUCAGGGAAAGUGGCUUUUACCUGUAGGAGCCUCAGUUUCCUUAUCUGUAAAAUGGGGAGAGGGCAGUACUGUGCGGUAGUUAAGAGUACAGACUUAGGAGUGGGCUCCUUGGGUUUGAAUCCUAGCUCUGCCUUUCCAGGUGUGCAACUCAUGUUUUCUGGUUAAAAACCCGGGAAAAUAACUGUGUAUGUAGCUCACAGGCUGCCAUGAGGAUGGAGUGAGUUCCUCCCAGGGGAUAGCUGAGAGCAGGCCUGGCCUAUAGGAUCUGUCCAUCACAUUCAUUAUCACACUGCAGAGGGCCCUGGCUUUGAGUCCAAAGAGACCUAGAUUCUAAAUCCAUGGCAAGGGUAAUCCCCGAUAAGUGACUGUACCCCCGAGACCAGUUUCAGCACCUGUAAAAUGGGGGGAGGAUAAAGCGAGGGUUGUCAAGAGGAUUAGAGAGGACGUCCACACAGCGCAGGUGCCUGGCACGCGGCAGACACUCCACAAAUGGCAGGCAGGCUAGUGAUGCUGUCACCGACUGAGCGGGUCUGGAAAACGGAGACCACGGGACGGUGGCUGACAGCGGGGCCUUCGACAGUAAAGCCAGACCGCCUGGGUUUGAGUCCCAGCUCUGCCACUUACAGCUGGAUGACGCGGGCAAGUGGCUCAGUCCCUCUACACCUCAACCUUCCUCUCGGUAAAAUGAAGACAGUAAUAUCCUUCCAAAAACCGGUGUAAGGAUGGUGUGAGAAAAUUCGGGAAAGGGGCUGGGCACAGAGUGGGGCCCUUCACGGCUGAUGCUGAUGCGCAUCACCGAGAGAGGCUCGCUAGGAAGAGCACAGAAGUGAAAGGCACCCUGCCACACCCCACGAUCGUAUCACCUCCAGGAGCUUCUGGAGCUUCUGGACGGUGUCUUCCGUCCAGGAGUCCCCGAGUCCUGGGCACUGAGACAUUAGUGUUUGCUUUUGCUCUGCUGAGAUGAGGAAACUGAGGCUCAGAGAGCAGCAGUCGGUGGAGGGGGGACCUGGGACCAGCUCUGGGUGGCUGACUCCAGCACACCUGCUGGCCUUCUGGAGAGCUUGCAGAGCAGGGGACUGGCUGUAAGGCAGUCAUGGGUUCAAAUUUCAGCUCCAUUCCCCACAGGCCCAGAUUCCCCUGCCUGCCUGCCCCCAUCUUUCUCCCCCAAACUCAGCAGGACCUGGCCUUCUCAGUUGGGG